GACGUAGGGCGCGAGCGUUGUCCGGAUUUAUUGGGCGUAAAGAGCUCGUAGGCGGCUUGUCGCGUCGGCUGUGAAAUCCCGUGGCUCAACUGCGGGCUUGCAGCCGAUACGGGCAGGCUAGAGUUCGGUAGGGGAGACUGGAAUUCCUGGUGUAGCGGUGAAAUGCGUAGAUAUUGGGAAGAACACCUGAGGCGAAGGCGGGUUGCUGGGCCGACACUGACGCUGAGGCGCGAAAGCCAGGGGAGCGAACGGG
rnacentral:rRNA from 1 species